AGUUUGAUCAUGGCUCAGGAUGAACGCUGGCGGUAUGCCUAACACAUGCAAGUCGAACGAUGUCUUCGGACAUAGUGGCGGACGGGUGAGUAACGCGUGAGAAUCUGCCUCUAGGAUGGGGAUAACGGUUGGAAACGACCGCUAACACCCAAUAUGCCGUAAGGUGAAAAAUUUAUUGCCUGGAGAGGAGCUCGCGUCUGAUUAGCUAGUUGGUGGGGUAAGAGCUCACCAAGGCUUCGAUCAGUAGCUGGUCUGAGAGGAUGAGCAGCCACACUGGGACUGAGACACGGCCCAGACUCCUACGGGAGGCAGCAGUGGGGAAUUUUCCGCAAUGGGCGAAAGCCUGACGGAGCAAUACCGCGUGAGGGAGGAAUGCCUUUGGGUUGUAAACCUCUUUUCUCAGGGAAGAAGAUCUGACGGUACCUGAGGAAUAAGUAUCGGCUAACUCCGUGCCAGCAGCCGCGGUAAUACGGAGGAUGCAAGCGUUAUCCGGAAUCAUUGGGCGUAAAGCGUCCGCAGGUGGUUUCCAAAGUCUGCUGUUAAAGACUGGAGCUCAACUCCGGAACGGCGGUGGAAACUUGGAAACUAGAGUUCGGUAGGGGUAGCAGGAACUCCCAGUGUAGCGGUGAAAUGCGUAGAUAUUGGGAAGAACAUCGGUGGCGAAGGCGUGCUACUGGACCGUAACUGACACUCAGGGACGAAAGCUAGGGGAGCGAAAGGGAUUAGAUACCCCUGUAGUCCUAGCUGUAAACGAUGGAAACUAGGUGUGGCUUGUAUCGACCCGAGCCGUGNCGUAGCU
rnacentral:rRNA from 1 species